rnacentral:rRNA from 1 species
CCUACGGGUGGCAGCAGUGGGGAAUAUUGCACAAUGGGGGAAACCCUGAUGCAGCGACGCCGCGUGAGGGAAGAAGUAAUUCGGGAUGUAAAGCUCUAUUAGUAGGGAAGAAACAGACGGUACCUGAGUAAGAAGAAGCGGCGAACUACGUGCCAGCAGCCGCCGUAAUACGUAGGGGGCAAGCGUUAUCCGGAUUUACUGGGUGGAAAGGGAGCGUAGACGGCGGAGGAAGUCAGAAGUGAAAGCCCGCGGCUUAACCGCGGAACUGCUUUUGAAACUUUUUUGCUUGAGUACCGGAGAGGUAAGCGGAAUUCCUUGUGUAGCGGUGAAAUGCGUAGAUAUUAGGAGGAACACCAGUGGCGAAGGCGGCUUACUGGACGGUAACUGACGUUGAGGCUCGAAAGCGUGGGGAGCAAACAGGAUUAGAUACCCUUGUAGUC